CUACGCACUCCUACGGGAGGCAGCAGUGGGGAAUAUUGCACAAUGGGCGCAAGCCUGAUGCAGCCAUGCCGCGUGUAUGAAGAAGGCCUUCGGGUUGUAAAGUACUUUCAGCAGUGAGGAAGGUGGAUAUGUUAAUAGCAUAUUCAUUUGACGUUAGCUGCAGAAGAAGCACCGGCUAACUCCGUGCCAGCAGCCGCGGUAAUACGGAGGGUGCGAGCGUUAAUCGGAAUUACUGGGCGUAAAGCGCAUGCAGGUGGUUUGUUAAGUCAGAUGUGAAAGCCCGGGCUCAACCUCGGAAUUGCAUUUGAAACUGGCAAACUAGAGUACUGUAGAGGGGGUAGAAUUUCAGGUGUAGCGGUGAAAUGCGUAGAGAUCUGAAGGAAUACCGGUGGCGAAGGCGGCCCCCUGGACAGAUACUGACACUCAGAUGCGAAAGCGUGGGGAGCAAACAGGAUUAGAUACCCUGGUAG
rnacentral:rRNA from 1 species